GCCGCCCUCCCCGUUCCACCGUCCCUCUGUUGCCGCUGUCGACGGAGAUUUCGCGCCGAGGGCCUCUCCUCCGGGUGAGUCGGGAUUUUGGAUUUCGUUUCGUCGCGACGAUAAAUCGAUAAUCCCGCGGCACGGGCCGAGGAGCCGAGGGAUCGAGAUAGCGGAAGUGGCCGUUUUCGAGGAUAGUCCGGUGGUGCCGCGUACGUGUCGUCCGCGCCGUCGAAAUGCCGUCGUCGUCGUCGUGAGCAACGCCAGGAGAUCGCCGGAGCGGAGUUUGUAUCGCUCGCGCGGCGCACAUUGAACCGGAGGGCGCGAGAGAGACGGAUAGAGUCGAGCGAGAGGAGGAGGGAGACGAGAAGAGCGAGGGAGAAAGAGAGAGAGAGAGAGAGAGAGGCGGAAUCUCGCGGGGUCUCUCGCCGACUCCGACGAUCCUCGCGAGUCGUCCCCGCGAAAUAAUGCGCCUUCCUCCCCCCCGGGACGCCCGUCCGGAUGACAUCGUCGCCAGCCAACGACGGGACGACGUAGGGUCGACGUGAGAAGAUAUGGAGGAUCCAUUGAGCAUCACAGUUACACAUUGUUCGAAUCAAUGCUACAUUUAGCCUUGAGCUUGGACAGUUUUUAAUGCGAUAAAAGCAGUACAUUGUCGAAGCACAAUAAUCCAGACUCCUAUAGGAGAGAUGGAUGUGAUGGAUGAGGAUAGGCGGAGGCGCCUACGGAGUCUGGAGGAGAGGAUAAAGGAUCCAAGAAGUAUUACAAAUAUCGAUUGCUUAUUGGAUACCGUCCAAGCCUUGGUAUUAGAUUGCGAUCAUGCGAGUGUGAAACGUAUGAAAAAUAUAGAAGCCUAUAUGAAUAGAUAUGACUGUGUAGCACAAGAGAUUCAUAAAAUGCGAAUGCGUACGGAUGAUUUUACUUUAAUAAAAGUAAUCGGCCGUGGUGCAUUUGGAGAGGUGCAGUUGGUUAGACACAGAUCUACGCAAAAAGUUUACGCUAUGAAAUUACUUAGUAAAUUUGAAAUGAUUAAAAGAUCGGAUUCCGCAUUUUUUUGGGAAGAGAGAGACAUAAUGGCUCACGCAAAUUCUCCAUGGAUAGUCCAGCUCCACUUUGCAUUCCAAGAUCAAAAGUAUCUCUAUAUGGUUAUGGAUUAUAUGCCAGGAGGUGAUUUAGUAAAUCUAAUGUCCAAUUACGAAGUGCCAGAGAAAUGGGCAAAAUUUUACUGUGCCGAAGUGGUGCUUGCGUUAGAUGCGAUACAUCUUAUGGGUUUCGUUCACAGAGAUGUGAAACCAGAUAAUAUGUUGCUCGACAAGUAUGGUCAUCUGAAACUUGCCGACUUCGGCACGUGUAUGAGGAUGGAUGCUGACGGUUUGGUACGGUCCGACACCGCUGUUGGUACACCCGAUUAUAUAUCCCCGGAAGUUUUGCAAUCGCAAGGCGGGGAAGGAGUAUACGGUCGCGAAUGUGACUGGUGGUCCGUAGGUGUUUUUCUCUACGAGAUGUUGUUCGGCGAUACACCAUUUUUUGCCGACUCCCUAGUUGGCACGUAUUCGAAGAUCAUGGAUCACCGGAACUCGUUAUAUUUUCCUCAAAAUGUCGAGAUUUCUCACUCGGCGAAAAACUUGAUAUGCGGUUUCCUCACCGACAGAACGAAACGCCUGGGUCGUAACGGCGUCGACGAAAUUAAAAGCCAUCCAUUUUUCAAAAAUGAUCAAUGGACUUUCGAUAAUCUAAGGGAAUGCGUGCCACCGGUAGUACCCGAACUUUCUGGUGAUGACGACACUAGCAAUUUCGAUGAUGUCGACAAGGAAGAUGGGCCGGAAGAGAGUUUUCCAGUACCUAAAGCUUUUUCCGGAAAUCAUCUGCCUUUCAUUGGAUUCACUUAUUCGGGCGAUUAUCAGCUAAUGUUCUCUUACGGCAAGGAAUCGGUGGACGGAUUGGAGAAUCAUGUCAAUAAUGGCACUACUGACGAUGUGAAGAUCUCGCAGUUGGAAAACUUGCUGGAUCGCGAAAGACGGCAAAUAGAGACGAUGGAGUCGAGACAGAAGGCGUUGAACAUUCAGUUGGAAGCAAUGACAUGCCGAGAAGCCGAGCUGCGCGAAGAAGUAGGCAGAGCGGACAAAGAGCUGACACUGCUCAGGCAUAAUUACAAGGAGGCGCAACGUAGAGUGGAGCACGAGACAGAGAUUCGUCGGAAGGCGGAAUCAUUGCUGGUGGAAGUGAAGAAGAAGUUUGACGAAGAACAAACUAGGCGAGCGCGAGAUGUCAGUACUUCGCAGCAGACAUCCGAGCGAGUAACGACGUUGGAAAAACAGAUCAAAGAGAUGCAGUGCAAACUAGAGAGAGAAACAGAAACGGUGACGAGGUUGCGCAAGCAAGCGACGGAAAUUACUGUGGCUCGUCAAGCUGCCGAACAAAUGGCGAGUGAACUCCAAGUUGCCAGGGCUCAGCUACAAGCACAGCGUGAUAACUUGCAACAAGAAGUUGCCACCCUUCAGGGCCAACUUUCCAAGGAACGUAGCUCAAGAUCGCAAGCGUCAUUGUUGACGGCCGAACUGGAAACACGUCUUUCUGCCUUACACCUCGAGUUAGAACGUAGUCGUGAGAAGGAGGAGAAGGCAACUCUGGAUAAUAGACAACUAAACGAAAGAAUUUCCGCGUUAGAAAAAGAAGCUGCUAGUUUAACCUUGGAAUUGAAAGCUGCACAAGCUAGGUAUAAUCAAGAAGUUAUGGCGCAUCAAGAAACGGAGCGUUCGCGCAUUCUCUCCAAAGAAGAAGCUAAUUUGGAAGUUGUUAAAGGGCAAAAGAAUGGAAUUUUCAAAGCAAAAUUAAACGAGGAGAAAAGCGGAAGACAACGCGCGGAAUUACUUGCGCAGGAAAAGGAACGUCAGACAUCAAUGCUCUCUGUCGAUUAUAGACAGAUACAACAACGAUUGCAAAAAUUAGAAGGUGAACACAGACAAGAAGUGGAAAAAGUCAAAGUACUGCAGGGCCAAGUUGAACAGGAACAACAAAAGAGAAAUGUCCUUCAAACCGAUUUAGGUCAGCAAACGUCUGAAGCUGGAAGACUUCGUGCUCGUGAGCAACAAUUGAUCGGAGAAGUUGCUCAGUUGAGGGAAGCUAAACGGCAAAUAGAAGAGGAAUUACAUCACUUAAAGACGCAAAGGAAUGUCGAUCAGCUACAGACGAAAGAAUUACAGGAGCAAUUAGAAGCUGAAGCUUAUUUCUCGACUCUUUACAAAACACAGACGCAAGAGUUACGUGAAGAGCUAGACGAAAAAGCGAGGUUGCAGCAGGAAUUGGAGGAAGAACGUAGUUCUCUAGUUCAUCAAUUACAACUGUCUUUGGCGCGCGGUGAUAGUGAAGCAUUGGCCAGAUCCAUAGCCGAGGAGACCGUAGCAGACUUGGAAAAGGAAAGAACCAUGAAGGAAUUGGAAUACAAAGAUGGAGUAGCUAAGCAUCAUCAAGAGCUAAGUGCAAAAGAACAAAUUAUAAAUAGACUUAAGGAGAACGAAAGCGAAUUCAAGAAAUCGGUCGAUCAGACUCUGAAGGAAAAAGAAGACUUGAGCAAGCGAUUGAAAGAAUCGCAAGAGCAACUUGGCAAAGCGCAAUUCAACGCGGAAGAAAUAGAAAAGCUGAGUAGCAAGCUGAAAACUGAACAACUAUUGAAGCAACAGGCGGUCAACAAACUAGCCGAGAUUAUGAACCGGAAGGAUCUUUCGUCGAGUGGGAAGAAUAAAAACAAGGCCUCUGCCGCAGAUCUGAGAAAGAAGGAGAAGGAUUGCAGACGCCUACAGCAAGAACUCACUCAAGAGAGGGAAAAGUACGGACAAUUGGCAGCUAAAUGGCAGAAAGAUUUGCAAGAUUUGCAAGCACAACUCGUCGAGGAAAAUCAGGCAAAGCUAAGGCUGCAAAUGGAACUGGAUUCGAAGGACUCGGAAAUAGAAACACUGCAAAUGAAAAUCGCGUCGCUCAAUUCGGAGACUGCAAGCGUCUCAUCCAUCGAGAACGACGAUGCUGAGGAUUCGGUUCUGUCCGAGCAUGGUACGAUGAGAUUGGAAGGUUGGUUAAAUGUGCCAAAUAAGCAGAAUAUUAAGCGGCACGGUUGGAAGAAGCAAUACGUCGUUGUCUCCUCCAAGAAGAUAAUUUUCUAUAAUAGCGAAAACGACAAAAUGAACGCCGAUCCGGUUCUGAUAUUAGACUUGAACAAAGUCUUCCACGUUAGAUCUGUUACUCAGGGUGAUGUUAUCCGAGCCAAUGCCAAAGAUAUACCCAGAAUAUUUCAGUUACUCUAUGCCGGUGAAGGUGAAGCGAGACGACCCGGCGACGAAGGAAAUACACUGCCUGGAGUGGAUUUACCGCAGCUCACAGAUAAACCCGGCACUCAGUCGUUGAAGGGCCACGAGUUCGUAUCAAUAUCUUAUCACAUGCCGACGACCUGCGAGGUCUGUUCGAAACAGCUCUGGCAUAUGUUUCGACCUUCGCCGGCUCUUGAAUGUCGAAGAUGUCGCAUUAAGAUUCACAAGGAACACUUGGACAAGAAGGAAGAUGCCAUAGCCCCAUGCAAACUGCACUAUGACCCCAACAGCGCCCGCGAGUUAUUGCUGCUCGCGGCGAAUCCCGAGGACCAGAAGUACUGGGUCUCGCGGCUGUCCAGGCGCGUUCAGAAAUGCGGCUACAAAGCGAACUCGCACGUAGACGGCACGGGGCAACGCGUUUCGCCAAGGUAGCGUAGCCGAUGCUGCUGCUCGAAGUGAGCGGGGACUAAGUAGCUCUCUUAUUUUGUGACGUCGCAUGAUGUGGGUGUAGAGAGGGAAUCUACGAGGUCGACUCUGAAGCCAUACUUAUCGGUGCAACAACGAUCCGCGACAUUACCAGCAAAUGCCAGUAUGGGCAAGUGAUCUUGGAAGAUGCUAGUAUUAGCGAUUAAGAAUUCCGCUCACGAUCUGCUACCGCAUUUUCCGCGUUAAUGGUAGUGACGUCAGUGAGGACCGUGGUAAAGAACUACAACCUCGUGAUUUUCUCUGCGCACCUGGCAACUGAAGUAGACUGUCAAUAAUUUUCUAGAUCAAUGUGAGAAUAAUUGAAAUAGCGAUUGCGAUCGUAAUGUGACUUUUGCAGCUAAGGGUAAGUGAAAUUCAAGUUCGAGUAUCGCUGGAGAAAACAGGGUUACUAUAUAUGUACCGGGUGAUAAAUGGAUAUGACGAUAAGAAGGAUGGAGAAAGAUAGGAUGCCGUGUCCACAUACAACAGGGUUAUCGUGUUCCCGGGACAAUAAUUAAUUGAAACGCGCGUGUUCCUCGUAUUUGCUGAAUCAUUUUAUCGUGAGCGACGUAAUAAUCUCUUCGUGAUAUUCGCGGCAGAUUGUAAAACGUUCUCUCGAAGAAUCAUUGAAUUUUCCGCAGUGAUUUUUCUGGAUUAGAACUUUAUAUUGGACUUUGUAUACGCACAUUUCUUACUGCCUUUAAUAACGAUUAUCGAUAAAUUGUGAUGGAGACUUUUAGCUUAAGGCGUUUUUUCGAUGCUUUAAACCGAAAUUUCGGAAGCUUGGAAAAAGAGUAUAUAGUAUUUUGGAAUUAUUUUAUAUAUACACAGAAUGUUCGUUGAGAACGUAUGUAGAUAUGGGGAUCUUUUGCUUUUAAGAUGAGUAUUAGCGAGGAUUUAUUUAACAUUUGAUAAUCGAGUGUGUUUUUGGACGGGGUUUCAUUUCAAGAGGGUGUAAACAAUUUUGAACGCGCGUUCGAGGAUCAAUGUUUUUAUCGAAAUCGUGGCAACUGAGUGGUUCAUGUCGACGGACAUCGCGAAGAAGUAAUAUAUUUGCGAAAUUGACCAGAUUUAUGGCGUCUGUAAAGACUAUAUAAGUAUACAGUAAUGAGUGCCAGCUUGUAUAGUAGAGAUAAUGAUUACAGUUGUACUUUAAGAAUUUUUAUUACAAUACACGAGUUAAUGACGUCCGCUACGUAUCCCGACAGAGACAGAGAAAGAGACAGCUAACGAGAGGACUAACUAACAAAAAAGUAUCAUGCAUAAUUCAGAAGCUUCAAGAGCUUCGUCAUGGUGCCAUACGGCUUCGGCCAUUCUCGGCAUCGAAAGAAGCGAUAGAAACAAAAGAAAAAGAUAUUAGAAAUCGUAUUAGAUAUUAUUAACGCAUCAUCGCCGUCUGUGUUCUUUCCAAAGUACCUCCGCGAGACAUUGCGUCGUGUCGAGAACUCGUCGGAACGAAAAGAGCCGCUUCCAUCGAUGAUAGUCAACUAACUAUGGUUAACAUUCUUCUUUCCCAUACGAGCUAAAUUUACAAACAUUAAUUAUGAUUAAGCGAGACUUUCCAUUGUGAUUCCUUAUAUUUUAUCUAGAGAGAAAAAAAUCUAAAAAAAUUUGCCUCGGAGAUCUGGGAAAAACUUUACAUGCUUUUUAACGAAUAAGAUAAAGGAUCAAUAAAGCGUCAGUUAAGUUAUGAAUGAUAGCUCAAUUUAGAAAGGAGUAGAAAAUCGAUCAUCAAAUCAACCGAUAGAAAAAGUAAGAUUAGUCCGUUAUAUGAAUGGUACACAAACUCUGAUUAAUUAAAUUCUCUUUCUUUAUUUGGACUACGAUAGCUACAACUUUCUAGAUAGGGGAAGGAGAAUUUCUAACCGGAAUUAGUCAACUAAAGUCGUCGGUGUAACUGGUUUCAAGAACUCAGCGAGACGUCCAUCAAAUGGUGCUCUUCCCCCCUGUCCCAUCCAUCCUUUUGGUUUGAUAGAACGUUGAGAGCGAGCGAGAAACUGUAGACACUUCUUGUGAAAGUACGAAGGAGAGAAAAAGAGAGAAAUUAAAACUGAAAAAAAAAUUUCAUCCGAUAUACUGCCCCGUGCCUUCUUCACUAUUUUGGUUCUCCACGAGAGCGAAACUCGGAGAAAAAUUGGCAAUGAGAAAGAAAAGGAAAGGGAGAGAAUGAGCGAAUGAAUGCAUGAGUAAGAAUGAGAGAGUGCGAGAUAAAGAAAGAAAGAGAGAGAGAGAGGAAGGAAAGAGGAAGAACUUGUUACAGCAUAUUUUAUUAUUAUU